UACGUAGGGUGCGAGCGUUAAUCGGAAUUACUGGGCGUAAAGGGCUCGUAGGCGGCCAACUAAGUCAGACGUGAAAUCCCUCGGCUUAACCGGGGAACUGCAUCUGAUACUGGAUGGCUUGAGUUCGGGAGAGGGAUGCGGAAUUCCAGGUGUAGCGGUGAAAUGCGUAGAUAUCGAGAGGAACACCAGUGGCGAAGGCGAGUCUCUGGACGACACCUGACACUGAGGCACGAAAGCUAGGGGAGCAAACAGG
rnacentral:rRNA from 1 species